CCUACGGGAGGCAGCAGUGGGGAAUUUUGGACAAUGGGCGCAAGCCUGAUCCAGCAAUGCCGCGUGCAGGAUGAAGGCCUUCGGGUUGUAAACUGCUUUUGUACGGAACGAAACGGCUCUUUCUAAUAAAGAGAGCUAAUGACGGUACCGUAAGAAUAAGCACCGGCUAACUACGUGCCAGCAGCCGCGGUAAUACGUAGGGUGCGAGCGUUAAUCGGAAUUACUGGGCGUAAAGCGUGCGCAGGCGGUUAUAUAAGACAGAUGUGAAAUCCCCGGGCUCAACCUGGGACCUGCAUUUGUGACUGUAUAGCUAGAGUACGGUAGAGGGGGAUGGAAUUCCGCGUGUAGCAGUGAAAUGCGUAGAUAUGCGGAGGAACACCGAUGGCGAAGGCAAUCCCCUGGACCUGUACUGACGCUCAUGCACGAAAGCGUGGGGAGCAAACAGGAUUAGAUACCCUGGUAGUCCACGCCCUAAACGAUGUCAACUGGUUGUUGGGUCUUCACUGACUCAGUAACGAAGCUAACGCGNGAGUAGACGCGNGGNGGUACGGCGCGAGUAGAACGACGAAAGAAGUAGAGCGUGAGACGNGCGACGACGACGACGAGGGAGGAGG
rnacentral:rRNA from 1 species